rnacentral:rRNA from 1 species
AUUGAACGCUGGCGGCAGGCUUAACACAUGCAAGUCGAACGAGGGGCGGACGGGUGAGUAAUGCUUGGGAAUCUAGCUUAUGGAGGGGGAUAACUACGGGAAACUGUAGCUAAUACCGCGUACCAUAGGAUGAGCCCAAGGGGGAUUAGGUAGUUGGUGAGGUAAAGGCUCACCAAGCCGACGAUCUCUAGCUGGUCUGAGAGGAUGACCGGCGACACGGGGACUGAGACACGGCCCAGACUCCUACGGGAGGCAGCGGGGGGGAAUAUUGCACAAUGGGCGAAAGCCUGAUGGAGCCAUGCCGCGUGUAUGAAGAAGGCCUUCGGGUUGUAAAGUACUUACAGUCGGGAGGCGUUACCGACAGAAGAAGCACCGGCUAACUCCGUGCCAGCAGCCGCGGUAAUUC